AUUUGGAGUGAUGGUGUUUGUUUUCCCAAGUAACUGUUACACGUGAUGGGGCCUUGCUCUCCUGGGGAUAGCUGAACACCUGGCAGCUCAUGAGAAUGGCACAAACUCGUAGGCAGGGCUGUGGCAAGGAGCCUUGGCUGUGACGGGAGUUACUAUGCAAAACAAGAUGGUAGAACUCUUUUCCUGCCCACCUCACGGAGAUGCUGUUUCAUCCCACCAACCUUCCCAUGGCCAUCCCCUGCUUGAAAAAAAGGGGAAGGAAAGAUUUCAGGGACCACAAACCUGCAGCUGGGAAAGAGCAAGAAGAGGAGGCAGCUGGGUGCAGCACCCUUCCCUGCCAAACGCUUGGCUUCCCCAUGCUUUGUCUGUGCAGCAGGGAGGAUAGCAUUCCCCCUUUUCUAUGAGGGCUAGGCACAUGAACAA